rnacentral:rRNA from 1 species
UUAGAGACUCCUACGGGAGGCAGCAGUGGGGAAUAUUGCACAAUGGGCGCAAGCCUGAUGCAGCCAUGCCGCGUGUAUGAAGAAGGCCUUCGGGUUGUAAAGUACUUUCAGCGGGGAGGAAGGGAGUGAGGUUAAUAACCUUAUUCAUUGACGUUACCCGCAGAAGAAGCACCGGCUAACUCCGUGCCAGCAGCCGCGGUAAUACGGAGGGUGCAAGCGUUAAUCGGAAUUACUGGGCGUAAAGCGCACGCAGGCGGUCUGUCAAGUCGGAUGUGAAAUCCCCGGGCUCAACCUGGGAACUGCAUUCGAAACUGGCAGGCUGGAGUCUUGUAGAGGGGGGUAGAAUUCCAGGUGUAGCGGUGAAAUGCGUAGAGAUCUGGAGGAAUACCGGUGGCGAAGGCGGCCCCCUGGACAAAGACUGACGCUCAG